rnacentral:rRNA from 1 species
CUACGGGUUGCUGCAGUGAGGAAUUUUGCGCAAUGGGGGGAACCCUGACGCAGCAACGCCGCGUGAGUGAUGAAGGCUUUCGGGUCGUAAAGCUCUGUCAAGUGGGAAGAACCUAUGCAGUGUUAAUAUCACUGUAUACUGACGGUACCACUGAAGGAAGCACCGGCUAACUCCGUGCCAGCAGCCGCGGUAAUACGGGGGGUGCAGGCGUUAUUCGGAAUCAUUGGGCGUAAAGGGCACGUAGGCGGCUUGGUAAGUCAGAUGUGAAAGCCCGGGGCUUAACCCCGGAAGUGCAUUUGAUACUGGCAGGCUUGAGUAUGGGAGAGGGAAGUGGAAUUCCUGGUGUAGAGGUGAAAUUCGUAGAUAUCAGGAGGAACACCGGUGGCGAAGGCGACUUCCUGGACCAAUACUGACGCUGAGGUGCGAAGGCGUGGGUAGCAAACAGGAUUAGAUACCCUCGUAGUC